rnacentral:rRNA from 1 species
UACGGAGGGCGCAAGCGUUGUUCGGAAUCACUGGGCGUAAAGCGCGUGUAGGCGGCUUGGCAAGUCAGAUGUGAAAUCCCGAGGCUCAACCUCGGAACUGCACUCGAAACUGCCUGGCUCGAGUCCCGGAGAGGGUGGCGGAAUUCCCGGUGUAGGGGUGAAAUCCGUAGAUAUCGGGAGGAACACCAGUGGCGAAGGCGGGCACCUGUACGGUGACUGACGCUGAGACGCGAAAGCGUGGGUAGCAAACACG